UACGAAGGGGGCUAGCGUUGCUCGGAAUCACUGGGCGUAAAGGGUGCGUAGGCGGGUCUUUAAGUCAGGGGUGAAAUCCUGGAGCUCAACUCCAGAACUGCCUUUGAUACUGAGGAUCUUGAGUUCGGGAGAGGUGAGUGGAACUGCGAGUGUAGAGGUGAAAUUCGUAGAUAUUCGCAAGAACACCAGUGGCGAAGGCGGCUCACUGGCCCGAUACUGACGCUGAGGUGCGAAAGCUAGGGGAGCAAACGGG
rnacentral:rRNA from 1 species